GAUGAACGCUGGCGGCGUGCUUAACACAUGCAAGUCGAACGGAAAGGCCCCUGCUUGCAGGGGUACUCGAGUGGCGAACGGGUGAGUAACACGUGGGUGAUCUGCCCUGCACUUCGGGAUAAGCCUGGGAAACUGGGUCUAAUACCGGAUAGGACGAUGGUUUGGAUGCCAUUGUGGAAAGUUUUUCGGUGUGCGAUGAGCUCGGGGCCUAUCAGCUUGUUGGUGGGGUAAUGGCCUACCAAGGCGUCGACGGGUAGCCGGCCUGAGAGGGUGGACGGCCACGUUGGGACUGAGCUGAGGCCCAGACUCAUACGGGAGGCAGAGGUGGAGAAUAUUGCACAAUGGGCGGAAGCCUGAUGCAGCGACGCCGCGUGGGGGAUGACGGCCUUCGGGUUGGAAUCUCCUUUCGUUAGUGACGAAGCGCAAGUGACGGUACCUGGAGAAGAAGCACCGGCUAACUACGUG
rnacentral:rRNA from 1 species